AAUGAGAAUUUAUGAUCCAAAUCAAGCAGCAUUGCAAGCCCUUAGAGGCUCAAACAUUCAACUCAUGCUAGGUGUUCCAAACUCAGAUCUCCAAAGCCUUACCAAUCCUUCUAAUGCAAACUCAUGGAUACAAAGAAAUGUUCGAGCCUUCUGGCCAAGUGUCAGAUUCAGAUAUAUAGCAGUUGGAAACGAAAUUAGUCCAGUGAAUGGAGGCACAGCUUCCUUGGCUAAAUUUGUUUUGCCUGCCAUGAGAAAUAUAUAUAAUGCAAUAAGAUCAGCUGGUCUUCAGGAUCAAAUAAAGGUCUCUACCGCAAUUGACAUGACCCUGAUAGGAAAUUCAUACCCUCCUUCUGCAGGUGCUUUCAGGGGUGAUGUUAGAUCAUACUUGGACCCAAUUA
rnacentral:misc_RNA from 1 species